UACAGAGGUCUCAAGCGUUGUUCGGAUUCAUUGGGCGUAAAGGGCGUGUAGGCGGGGAAGUAAGUCGGGCGUGAAAUCCCUAGGCUCAACCUAGGAACUGCACUCGAAACUACUUCUCUUGAGUAUCGGAGAGGAAAGCGGAAUACCUGGUGUAGAGGUGAAAUUCGUAGAUAUCAGGUGGAACACCAGUGGCGAAGGCGGCUUUCUGGACGGUAACUGACGCUGAGACGCGAAAGCGUGGGGAGCAAACAGG
rnacentral:rRNA from 1 species